rnacentral:tRNA from 1 species
GGAUUGUGGCUCAGCGGUAGAGCGCUCACCUAGCAGGUGGGAGGCCCCAGGUUCGAUCCUCAGCACCA